GUACGGAGGGUGCGAGCGUUGUCCGGAAUCACUGGGCGUAAAGGGCGCGUAGGCGGCCUGGGAAGUCGGCGGUGAAAGCCCGAGGCUCAACUUCGGGUCGGCCACUGAUACUGCUGGGCUUGAGUCGACUAGAGGCAGAUGGAAUUCCGGGUGUAGCGGUGGAAUGCGUAGAGAUCCGGAAGAACACCGGUGGCGAAGGCGGUCUGCUGGGGUCGAACUGACGCUGAGGCGCGACAGCGUGGGGAGCAAACAGG
rnacentral:rRNA from 1 species